rnacentral:rRNA from 1 species
GAUGAACGCUGGCGGCGUGCCUAAUACAUGCAAGUCGAGCGAACGGACGAGAAGCUUGCUUCUCUGAUGUUAGCGGCGGACGGGUGAGUAACACGUGGAUAACCUACCUAUAAGACUGGGAUAACUUCGGGAAACCGGAGCUAAUACCGGAUAAUAUUUUGAACCGCAUGGUUCAAAAGUGAAAGACGGUCUUGCUGUCACUUAUAGAUGGAUCCGCGCUGCAUUAGCUAGUUGGUAAGGUAACGGCUUACCAAGGCAACGAUGCAUAGCCGACCUGAGAGGGGGAUCGGCCAACCCGGAACUGGAACCCCGUCCAGACUCCUACGGGGGGCAGGAAUAGGGAAAUUUCCGCAAUGGGCGAAAGCCUGACGGAGCAACGCCGCGUGAGUGAUGAAGGUCUUCGGAUCGUAAAACUCUGUUAUUAGGGAAGAACAUAUGUGUAAGUAACUGUGCACAUCUUGACGGUACCUAAUCAGAAAGCCACGGCUAACUACGUG